rnacentral:rRNA from 1 species
CAAGUCGAACGGUAACAGGUGUAGCAAUACAUGCUGACGAGUGGCGCACGGGUGCGUAACACGUAUGCAACCUACCUAUAACUGGGGAAUAGCCUUCCGAAAGGAAGAUUAACACCGCAUAACAUCACGGAACGGCAUCGUUUUGUGAUCAAACCUCCGGGGGUUAUAGAUGGGCAUGCGUAACAUUAGCUAGUUGGUGAGGUAAUGGCUCACCAAGGCUACGAUGUUUAGGGGGUCUGAGAGGAUGAUCCCCCACACUGGUACUGAGACACGGACCAGACUCCUACGGGAGGCAGCAGUAAGGAAUAUUGGACAAUGGGGGCAACCCUGAUCCAGCCAUGCCGCGUGAAGGAUGAAGGCCCUCUGGGUUGUAAACUUCUUUGUACGGGAAUAAACCCCUCUACGUGUAGAGGGUUGAAUGUACCGUAAGAAUAAGGAUCGGCUAACUUCGUGCCAGCAGCCGCGGUAAUACGAAGGAUCCAAGCGUUAUCCGGAUUUAUUGGGUUUAAAGGGUGCGUAGGCGGGCUAUUAAGUCAGUGGUGAAAGCCCCAAGCUUAACUUGGGAAUUGCCAUUGAUACUGAUGGUCUUGAGUACACUUGAAGUGGGCGGAAUGUGUCAUGUAGCGGUGAAAUGCUUAGAUAUGACACAGAACACCGAUUGCGAAGGCAGCUCACUAAAUUGUAACUGACGCUGAGGCACGAAAGCGUGGGGAUCAAACAGGAUUAGAUACCCUGGUAGUCCACGCCCUAAACGAUGAUUACUCGAUGUGUGCAAUACACCGUACGCGUCUGAGCGAAAGCAUUAAGUAAUCCACCUGGGGAGUACGGUCGCAAGGCUGAAACUCAAAGGAAUUGACGGGGGCCCGCACAAGCGGAGGAGCAUGUGGUUUAAUUCGAUGAUACGCGAGGAACUUACCAGGGCUUGAAAGUUA